GGGCAACCCUGGUGGCGAGUGGCGGACGGGUGAGUAAUGCAUCGGAACGUGCCCUGAAGUGGGGGAUAACGCAGCGAAAGCUACGCUAAUACCGCAUAUUCUGUGAGCAGGAAAGCAGGGGAUCGCAAGACCUUGCGCUUUGGGAGCGGCCGAUGUCGGAUUAGCUAGUUGGUGGGGUAAAGGCCUACCAAGGCGACGAUCCGUAGCGGGUCUGAGAGGAUGAUCCGCCACACUGGGACUGAAACACGGCCCAGACUCCUACGGGAGGCAGCAGUGGGGAAUUUUGGACAAUGGGCGGAAGCCUGAUCCAGCCAUGCCGCGUGAGUGAAGAAGGCCUUCGGGUUGUAAAGCUCUUUCGGCGGGGAAGAAAUUGCUUGGGUUAAUACCCUGAGUAGAUGACGGUACCCGAAUAAGAAGCACCGGCUAACUACGUGCCAGCAGCCGCGGUAAUACGUAGGGUGCGAGCGUUAAUCGGAAUUACUGGGCGUAAAGCGUGCGCAGGCGGUUUUGUAAGUCAGAUGUGAAAUCCCCGGGCUCAACCUGGGAACUGCAUUUGAGACUGCAAGACUGGAGUUUGGCAGAGGGGGGUGGAAUUCCACGUGUAGCAGUGAAAUGCGUAGAGAUGUGGAGGAACACCGAUGGCGAAGGCAGCCCCCUGGGCCAAUACUGACGCUCAUGCACGAAAGCGUGGGGAGCAAACAGGAUUAGAUACCCUGGUAGUCCACGCCCUAAACGAUGUCAACUAGGUGUUGGGAGGGUUAAACCUUUUAGUGCCGUAGCUAACGCGUGAAGUUGACCGCCUGGGGAGUACGGCCGCAAGGCUAAAACUCAAA
rnacentral:rRNA from 1 species